UCAUUCACCGGUUGAUCACCAAUCUAGAAGAAAGAUUUCCUGAUCUGCCAGUACUUCAGCUCUUUGAUGAAUUUGACACAACAAAGUUCCCAAAUGGUGAUCUGGGUAACCAUGGAGAGAAUGAAAUCAAGAAACUAGUUUAGCACUUCAACCUUCCAGUAGAGUCCACUGUGUGUAACUGGCAGCAGGUACGUGGUGCACUACAUGGCACAGACCAGAAUGCAGACAAGGCCAUAGAGUGAAUCACCAACCUACAUACAAGCCACCAACACUUGUACAAGCUGGCCGCUGUAGGUCUACUGCUUCCUUCAACUGCUGACUGUGAGAGGGGCUUUAGCUCUAUGAAGAGAAUUAAUGCGGAGAAUUGUGCCUCACUAAAAUCCACUGUCCUCAAUGCAUUGAUGAUGUUGAGCAUGGAGGGCCCUCCCCUAGAGGCAGUGGAUUUCAGUGAGAUGGUGGACACAUGGUACAAGGAAAAACCUAGAAGGACUGAACUGUAAAAAGUGUAAAUACAGGAUUAGUGACAAUGUGAAAAUGAAAGCGUAAAAAUGUAAAUUAAGAAAGAAAUUGUUUGUGUUAAACUGUGAAGAGUGGACUAUAUCUAUAGAUAAACAGUUAAUGUAUAUAGUGUUUAUAAAUGUCUUUUUGUGUUGUUUUUUUCAUUGUAAAUAGUUAAUGUAUAUAUUAUUUAUAUAUGUUUUUUUCAUUGUGUUGUUUUCUUAGUUUUAUGAUAAUUGUGUAAUAAAUUGUUAAAAUGUUA